UCCUUCCGUAGGUGAACCUGCGGAGGGAUCAUUACACAAAUAUGAAGGCGGGCUGGAACCUCUCGGGGUUACAGCCUUGCUGAAUUAUUCACCCUUGUCUUUUGCGUACUUCUUGUUUCCUUGGUGGGUUCGCCCACCACUAGGACAAACAUAAACCUUUUGUAAUUGCAAUCAGCGUCAGUAACAAAUUAAUAAUUACAACUUUCAACAACGGAUCUCUUGGUUCUGGCAUCGAUGAAGAACGCAGCGAAAUGCGAUAAGUAGUGUGAAUUGCAGAAUUCAGUGAAUCAUCGAAUCUUUGAACGCACAUUGCGCCCUUUGGUAUUCCAAAGGGCAUGCCUGUUCGAGCGUCAUUUGUACCCUCAAGCUUUGCUUGGUGUUGGGCGUCUUGUCUCUAGCUUUGCUGGAGACUCGCCUUAAAGUAAUUGGCAGCCGGCCUACUGGUUUCGGAGCGCAGCACAAGUCGCACUCUCUAUCAGCAAAGGUCUAGCAUCCAUUAAGCCUUUUUUUUCAACUUUUGACCUCGGAUCAGGUAGGGAUACCCGCUGAACUUAAGCAUAUCAAUAAGCGGAGGAA
rnacentral:rRNA from 1 species